rnacentral:rRNA from 1 species
UACGGGGGGGGCAAGCGUUGUUCGGAAUUACUGGGCGUAAAGGGCUCGUAGGCGGCCAACUAAGUCAGACGUGAAAUCCCUCGGCUUAACCGGGGAACUGCGUCUGAUACUGGAUGGCUAGAGGUUGGGAGAGGGAUGCGGAAUUCCAGGUGUAGCGGUGGAAUGCGCAGAUAUCAGGAGGAACACCGGUGGCGAAGGCGGGUCUCUGGGCAGUAACUGACGCUGAGGAGCGAAAGCGUGGGGAGCGAACAGG